ACGCUGGCGGCGUGCUUAACACAUGCAAGUCGAACGAUGAUGCCAGCUUGCUGGUGGAUUAGUGGCGAACGGGUGAGUAACACGUGAGUAACCUGCCCUUGACUCUGGGAUAAGCCUGGGAAACUGGGUCUAAUACCGGAUAUGACCUUCCAUCGCAUGGUGGUUGGUGGAAAGCUUUUGUGGUUUUGGAUGGACUCGCGGCCUAUCAGCUUGUUGGUGGGGUAAUGGCCUACCAAGGCGACGACGGGUAGCCGGCCUGAGAGGGUGACCGGCCACACUGGGACUGAGACACGGCCCAGACUCCUACGGGAGGCAGCAGUGGGGAAUAUUGCACAAUGGGCGCAAGCCUGAUGCAGCGACGCCGCGUGAGGGAUGACGGCCUUCGGGUUGUAAACCUCUUUCAGUAGGGAAGAAGCGAAAGUGACGGUACCUGCAGAAGAAGCGCCGGCUAACUACGUGCCAGCAGCCGCGGUAAUACGUAGGGCGCAAGCGUUAUCCGGAAUUAUUGGGCGUAAAGAGCUCGUAGGCGGUUUGUCGCGUCUGCCGUGAAAGUCCGGGGCUCAACUCCGGAUCUGCGGUGGGUACGGGCAGACUAGAGUGAUGUAGGGGAGACUGGAAUUCCUGGUGUAGCGGUGAAAUGCGCAGAUAUCAGGAGG
rnacentral:rRNA from 1 species